UACGUAGGGGGCAAGCGUUGUCCGGAUUUAUUGGGCGUAAAGAGCGUGUAGGCGGCCAGAUAGGUCCGUUGUGAAAACUCGAGGCUCAACCUCGAGACGUCGGUGGAAACCGUUUGGCUAGAGUCCGGAAGAGGAGAGUGGAAUUCCCGGUGUAGCGGUGAAAUGCGCAGAUAUCGGGAAGAACACCCGUGGCGAAGGCGGCUCUCUGGGACGGUACUGACGCUGAGACGCGAAAGCGUGGGGAGCGAACAGG
rnacentral:rRNA from 1 species